GACGGAGGGUGCUAGCGUUGUUCGGAUUUACUGGGCGUAAAGGGCGCGUAGGCGGCCAGAUCAGUCGGGUGUGAAAGCCCGGGGCUCAACCCCGGAACGGCACCCGAGACGGUUUGGCUGGAGACCGGGAGAGGAGGGUGGAAUAGCCAGUGUAGAGGUGAAAUUCGUAGAUAUUGGGAAGAACACCGGUGGCGAAGGCGACCAUCUGGACGACAACUGACGCUGAGGCGCGAAAGCGUGGGGAGCAAACAGG
rnacentral:rRNA from 1 species